AAAGAAACCAACCGGGAUUGCCUCAGUAACGGCGAGUGAAGCGGCAAGAGCUCAAAUUUGAAAUCUGGCCCCUUUGGGGUCCGAGUUGUAAUUUGCAGAGGAUGCUUCGGGUGCGGUCCCCGUCUAAGUGCCCUGGAACGGGCCGUCAUAGAGGGUGAGAAUCCCGUCUGGGAUGGGCGGCCGCGCCCGUGUGAAGCUCCUUCGACGAGUCGAGUUGUUUGGGAAUGCAGCUCUAAGCGGGUGGUAAAUUUCAUCUAAAGCUAAAUACUGGCCGGAGACCGAUAGCGCACAAGUAGAGUGAUCGAAAGAUGAAAAGCACUUUGAAAAGAGAGUUAAACAGCACGUGAAAUUGUUGAAAGGGAAGCGUUGUCCACCAGACUCGCCCGGGGGGGUUCAGCCGGCACGUGUGCCGGUGUACUCCUCUCCGGGCGGGCCAGCAUCGGUUUGGGCGGCUGGUGAAAGGCCCCGGGAAUGUAACACCCUCCGGGGUGCCUUAUAGCCCGGGGUGCCAUACAGCCAGCCUGGACCGAGGCCCGCGCUUCGGCGAGGAUGCUGGCGUAAUGGUGGUCAACGGC
rnacentral:rRNA from 1 species